rnacentral:rRNA from 1 species
GAUGAACGCUGGCGACGUGCCUAAUACAUGCAAGUCGAGCGAACAGACGAGGAGCUUGCUCCUCUGACGUUAGCGGCGGACGGGUGAGUAACACGUGGAUAACCUACCUAUAAGACUGGGAUAACUUCGGGAAACCGGAGCUAAUACCGGAUAAUAUAUUGAACCGCAUGGUUCAAUAGUGAAAGACGGUUUUGCUGUCACUUAUAGAUGGAUCCGCGCCGCAUUAGCUAGUUGGUAAGGUAACGGCUUACCAAGGCAACGAUGCGUAGCCGACCUGAGAGGGUGAUCGGCCACACUGGAACUGAGACACGGUCCAGACUCCUACGGGAGGCAGCAGUAGGGAAUCUUGCGCAAUGGGCGAAAGCCUGACGGAGCAACGCCGCGUGAGUGAUGAAGGUCUUCGGAUCGUAAAGCUCUGUUAUUAGGGAAGAACAAAUGUGUAAGUAACUAUGCACGUCUUGACGGUACCUAAUGAGAAAGCCACGGCUAACUACGUG